UUAAAGUCCAGUUAAAAAAAAUCCCUUGUUGCCAGAGAAAAGCUACAACUUUGGCAGCGGCAGUGCUAAGUUUGAGUAUGGCGCUAUGCCAGAGUGUGUCAAUCUUGACCCCUUGGAGGAUGAUCAGCAGAAAGAGGGUAGUUAAACCAUUGUGCCCAUUCAGUC
rnacentral:sRNA from 1 species